rnacentral:rRNA from 1 species
AUUGAACGCUGACGGCAGGCCUAACACAUGCAAGUCGAACGAGUGGCGGACGGGUGAGUAAUGUCUAGGAAACUGCCUGAUGGAGGGGGGUCACUAUUGGAAACGGUAGCUAAUCCCGAAAACAUUCAAAUGUCCCCAAAGGGGUUUCGCUUGUUGGUGGGGUAACGGCGCACCAAGGCGACGCUCCCUAGCUGGUCUGAGAGGAUGACCAGCCACACUGGAACUGAGACACGGUCCAGACUCCUACGGGAGGCAGCAGUGGGGAAUAUUGCACAAUGGGCGCAAGCCUGAUGCAGCCAUGCCGCGUGUAUGAAGAAGGCCUUCGGGUUGUAAAGUACUUUCAGCGGGGAGGCGUUACCCGCAGAAGAAGCACCGGCUAACUCCGUGCCAGCAGCCGCGGUAAUUC